rnacentral:rRNA from 1 species
GACGAACGCUGGCGGCGCGCCUAACACAUGCAAGUCGAACGGAGCUGAGAGAAGCUUGCUUUUCUUAGCUUAGUGGCGAACGGGUGAGUAACGCGUGAGUAACCUGCCCUGGAGUGGGGGACAACAGUUGGAAACGACUGCUAAUACCGCAUAAGCCCACGAUCCGGCAUCGGAUUGGGGGAAAAGGAUUUAUUCGCUUCAGGAUGGACUCGCGUCCAAUUAGCUAGUUGGUGAGGUAACGGCCCACCAAGGCGACGAUUGGUAGCCGGACUGAGAGGUUGAACGGCCACAUUGGGACUGAGACACGGCCCAGACUCCUACGGGAGGCAGCAGUGGGGGAUAUUGCACAAUGGGGGAAACCCUGAUGCAGCGACGCCGCGUGGAGGAAGAAGGUUUUCGGAUUGUAAACUCCUGUCGUGAGGGACGAUAAUGACGGUACCUAACAAGAAAGCACCGGCUAACUACGUG